GAUCAUGGCUCAGGACGAACGCUGGCGGCGUGCCUAACACAUGCAAGUCGAACGGAACUUCCUCAAAAGAUUUCUUCGGAAUGAAUUUGAUUAAGUUUAGUGGCGGACGGGUGAGUAACGCGUGAGUAACCUGCCUCUAAGAGGGGAAUAACAUUCUGAAAAGAAUGCUAAUACCGCAUAAUAUAUAUUUAUCGCAUGGUAGAUAUAUCAAAGAUUUAUCGCUUAGAGAUGGACUCGCG
rnacentral:rRNA from 1 species